CUAGGUCAAGUUUUGAUGGUAAAAUGCGGGUCUUGGAUACCUGAGAUUGAAGGUUCAACUCCUUCGACCUAGA
rnacentral:tRNA from 1 species